GGCGAACGCUGGCGGCGUGCUUAACACAUGCAAGUCGAACGGACAGGCCCUGCUUUUGUGGGGUGCUCGAGUGGCGAACGGGUGAGUAACACGUGAGUAACCUGCCCUUGACUUUGUGAUAACUUCUGGAAACUGGGGCUAAUACCGGAUAGGGUCUCCUGCUGCACGGUGGGCGUUGGAAAGUUUCGGCCGUUGGGGAUGGACUCGCGGCUUAUCAGCUUGUUUGUGGGGUAGUGGUAUACCAGGGCUUUGACGGGUAGCCGGCCUGAGAGGGUGAACGGCGACCAUGGGACUGAGGUACGGCGCAGAAGGCUACGGGAGGCAACAGGGGGGAAUCUUGCGGAAUGGGCGGAAGCCUGAUGCAGCAGCGCCGCGUGCGGGAUGACCGGCUUCUGGGUGUAAACCGCUGUCGCAUGUGACGAAGCGGGAGUGACGGUAAUGGGUAAAGAAGCACCGGCUAACUACGUG
rnacentral:rRNA from 1 species